rnacentral:RNase_P_RNA from 1 species
GUAGGCAGGUAGCUCAUAAGGAUUGACAACUAUUUAUAGUUUUAAAUCUUAGGAAAGUCCACCCACCACAAUAGGUCGCCCAUUGGGUUCGUGAAAGCGAAGGCAACCGUCCAGAAACGACACGUCCUUGGAAUAAGAUGAUGAUCCUCAGAAAUUGCAAGAUUUCUGGGAUGCUAGGAAUCUCUGAUUCCUCCGCAUGGCGAAGUUUUCCGCAAGGGAAAUGAGUUAACCCUUUGAUGUUUUCCAAGGGAUCGAUGAAACGUGUGAGCCCCGACUGGUGCAAGUCAUUAUGACGCUAAGUUGAAUUUGAGCACUUCCAUAUGGAAGGACAGAAGGUGGCUUAUUCCUGUCUAC